AUAAAAAGUAGCAUUUGCUCCGAACAAGUUUACUCUACUCGAUUUUGAGCAAAGUAAACUCUUGUAGCAUUUGCUCAACUUGAUAUGAAUAAAAGCUUACUUUACUCAGUUUGGACUGUAGCAAGUUCGAAAUUCGAACAAAGCUUUUACUCCGUCAUUAAUCUGUCAAACUGGUGGCUCAAAUACAGAAAUACAGUCGCAGUGCAAUUGAAAUGGCUUCUGAUUUCUGUUGAGUUCUACGAUGGACACGAAUCAAAUGAGGGUAACAAGGUUAAACUUUAGCUGCCGUAUGAUGGACCCGUUCAUACAUCCGUAUUUACAACACGUUAAUGCGGAUUUCGUUUGCGGUGCUUCGUGGAAUAUAACUGUCUCGAAUAGGAAAAUACCCUUAUGAAAGAUGUUGAGGUUCAACUCAACUCGUCAAGGACGAUAAACAUUUAUAUUCAAAACAGUUUUGAGGAAAAAGAUCUAUUAGCAAGAGGAGAAAGCUCCAGCCAAUGAUGAUACGGCUGCAAAAGCUACACCAAAUAUUCAAACAGCAAAACGGAAUGCACAGCGUCGAGUUCACAGCAAUGUAACUAAAUCACCAAAUUUUGAAAAUAUCGUGGAGGAACUAUUUUUUCUGCAGGAAGUAACGCAAAUUAGUUUUUUCUAAGA